AUUGAACGCUGGCGGCAGGCCUAACACAUGCAAGUCGAGCGGGGUUUUCGGACCUAGCGGCGGACGGGUGAGUAAUGCGUAGGAAGCUACCCGGUAGAGGGGGAUACCAGUUGGAAACGACUGUUAAUACCGCAUAAUGUCUACGGACCAAAGUGUGGGACCUUCGGGCCACAUGCUAUCGGAUGCGCCUACGUGGGAUUAGCUAGUUGGUGAGGUAAUGGCUCACCAAGGCGACGAUCCCUAGCUGGUUUGAGAGGAUGAUCAGCCACACUGGAACUGAGACACGGUCCAGACUCCUACGGGAGGCAGCAGUGGGGAAUAUUGGACAGUGGGCGCAAGCCUGAUCCAGCCAUGCCGCGUGUGUGAAGAAGGCCUUCGGGUUGUAAGGCACUUUCAGUAGGGAGGAAGCGUUGUGUGUUAAUAGUACACAGCGUUGACGUUACCUACAGAAGAAGCACCGGCUAACUCUGUGCCAGCCGCCGCGGUAAGAC
rnacentral:rRNA from 1 species